rnacentral:rRNA from 1 species
UAUAGAGGAUGCAAGCGUUAUCCGGAAUGAUUGGGCGUAAAGCGUCUGUAGGUGGCUUUUUAAGUCCGCCGUCAAAUCCCGGGGCUCAACUCUGGACAGGCGGUGGAAACUACCAAGCUGGAGUACGGUAGGGGCAGAGGGAAUUUCCGGUGGAGCGGUGAAAUGCGUAGAGAUCGGAAAGAACACCCGUGGCUAAGGCGGCUCUCUAGUACGGUACUGACGCUGAGACGCGAAAGCGUGGGAGCGAACGAGG